rnacentral:rRNA from 1 species
GUAAUAAUCCUGUAGUCGAAAAUGUUGUCUCUCUUGAGUGGAUCCUGAGUACGACGGAGCACGUGAAAUUCCGUCGGAAUCUGGGAGGACCAUCUCCUAAGGCUAAAUACUCUCUAGUGACCGAUAGUGAACCAGUACCGUGAGGGAAAGGUGAAAAGCACCCCGGAAGGGGAGUGAAAUAGAACCUGAAACCGUGUGCUUACAAGUAGUCAGAGCCCGUUAAUGGGUGAUGGCGUGCCUUUUGUAGAAUGAACCGGCGAGUUACGAUUUGAUGCAAGGUUAAGCAGUAAAUGUGGAGCCGUAGCGAAAGCGAGUCUGAAUAGGGCGUUUAGUAUUUGGUCGUAGACCCGAAACCAGGUGAUCUACCCUUGGUCAGGUUGAAGUUCAGGUAACACUGAAUGGAGGACCGAACCGACUUACGUUGAAAAGUGAGCGGAUGAACUGAGGGUAGCGGAGAAAUUCCAAUCGAACCUGGAGAUAGCUGGUUCUCUCCGAAAUAGCUUUAGGGCUAGCCUCAAGUGAUGAUUAUUGGAGGUAGAGCACUGUUUGGACGAGGGGCCCCUCUCGGGUUACCGAAUUCAGACAAACUCCGAAUGCCAAUUAAUUUAACUUGGGAGUCAGAACAUGGGUGAUAAGGUCCGUGUUCGAAAGGGAAACAGCCCAGACCACCAGCUAAGGUCCCAAAAUAUAUGUUAAGUGGAAAAGGAUGUGGCGUUGCCCAGACAACUAGGAUGUUGGCUUAGAAGCAGCCAUCAUUUAAAGAGUGCGUAAUAGCUCACUAGUCGAGUGACACUGCGCCGAAAAUGUACCGGGGCUAAACAUAUUACCGAAGCUGUGGAUUGUCCUUUGGACAAUGGUAGGAGAGCGUUCUAAGG